rnacentral:rRNA from 1 species
GGGUGAGUAACACGUAUGGAACCUGCCCGUAGCAGGGGGAUAAGCGGAAGAAAUUCCGUCUAAUACCGCGUAAUAACUCCGAGGGGCAUCUCUUGGGGUUUAAAGGGUAACACCGGCUACGGAUGGCCAUGCGGCGCAUUAGCUAGUUGGCGGGGUAACGGCCCACCAAGGCGACGAUGCGUAGGGGUUCUGAGAGGAAGGUCCCCCACACUGGUACUGAGACACGGACCAGACUCCUACGGGAGGCAGCAGUGAGGAAUAUUGGUCAAUGGGCGCGAGCCUGAACCAGCCAAGUCGCGUGAGGGAAGACGGUCCUAUGGAUUGUAAACCUCUUUUGUCGGGGAGCAAAAGACGCCACGCGUGGCGUUCCGAGAGUACCCGAAGAAAAAGCAUCGGCUAACUCCGUGCCAGCAGCCGCGGUAAUACGGAGGAUGCGAGCGUUAUCCGGAUUUAUUGGGUUUAAAGGGUGCGCAGGCGGAAGAUCAAGUCAGCGGUAAAAUUGAGAGGCUCAACCUCUUCGAGCCGUUGAAACUGGUUUUCUUGAGUGAGCGAGAAGUAUGCGGAAUGCGUGGUGUAGCGGUGAAAUGCAUAGAUAUCACGCAGAACUCCGAUUGCGAAGGCAGCAUACCGGCGCUCAACUGACGCUCAUGCACGAAAGUAUGGGUAUCGAACAGGAUUAGAUACCCUGGUAGUCCACACAGUAAACGAUGAAUAAUAAUUGUUCGGG